AGUGCCUUCCUUCUCCCUGAAGUGUAUGAACAGGACUCCCCCUCAGAGCUGAGCCAGACCCUGGAUUCUCAAGGGGUUGGCUGAUUCCCUUGGGACGCAGGUAUCCAGGCUGAAAACCGGAUUUUAUGAGCUGAGGAAGAUGACAAUGUGAAAAAUGGCGAUUUUCCCUUAGGCAGAGACCGGAUUUGCAGAUCCUUUUCUACCCACAAUGCUUGUGCCUGCAGCUGCUUUGAACUUUGCUGAAAAGAUUUUUCUUAGCUUGAAAUCAUUAAAAUAUGUUUAAACGGCA